GCGACGGCGCCGGCUCCGGCGCCGUGUACGACAAUUGCAGGACGUACGGGUUGCCGACGCCAUCCGAACCGGAGCCCCCGCCGCCGUCGCUCCCGUCCCUCUCGUCAUCACCUUCACCUCCGCCGCCGGUGUCACUGCCAGACGAUGACGGCUGUGCAAGGAAUUGUCAAGAGCCAUCAGCGGCCGACAGCAAGUACGGCACGUACGAUACACUUAACCACUUAACCAGUACAGUGUUGUUAAUCCGCAACUAAGUAUAUAAUAAUGGAUUAGG
rnacentral:lncRNA from 1 species